GGGGUUAAGGGGUGGAAUAACCCCUUAACCCCCAUUUUAUCCCCAAACACCCCAAAAAAUAGGUGGGGUUAGCUAACCCCACCUAACCCCACCUCAAAUAAAUUAUCCCGAGUUAGCUAACCCCACCUAACCCCACCAAACUCCAACCAAACACUAUUUUCUAUUCAUAAUAAUCCACUAUCUUUCUUAUCACAGCUACUCCAACCAAUCAUUAUCCUUCUUUAUCAAUCAUUAUCUUCUUAUCCCACCUACUCCAACGAAACACUAUUUUUCAUUAUUCUAGACUAACUCCAACCCCCAACCAAACACAAAAAAACUUUAACCCCACUUUAACCCUGAACUUAACUCUAUCCCUGGAAUAGCUACUUUUUCCUUAACCCCGAACC
rnacentral:lncRNA from 1 species